UACGUAGGGUGCAAGCGUUGUCCGGAAUUAUUGGGCGUAAAGAGCUCGUAGGCGGUUUGUCGCGUCUGCUGUGAAAACUCGGGGCUUAACUCCGGGCCUGCAGUGGGUACGGGCAGACUAGAGUGCGGUAGGGGAGACUGGAAUUCCUGGUGUAGCGGUGAAAUGCGUAGAUAUCAAGAGGAACACCUGAGGUGAAGACGGGUUGCUGGGCCGACACUGACGCUGAAGCGCGAAAGCCAGGGGAGCAAACGGG
rnacentral:rRNA from 1 species